rnacentral:rRNA from 1 species
UACGUAGGGUGCGAGCGUUGUCCGGAAUUAUUGGGCGUAAAGGGCUCGUAGGCGGUUUGUCGCGUCGGGAGUGAAAAUCCAGGGCUUAACUCUGGACUGGCUUCCGAUACGGGCAGACUAGAGGUAUGCAGGGGAGAACGGAAUUCCUGGUGUAGCGGUGAAAUGCGCAGAUAUCAGGAGGAACACCGGUGGCGAAGGCGGUUCUCUGGGCAUUACCUGACGCUGAGGAGCGAAAGUGUGGGGAGCGAACAGGA